UACGUAGGGGGCGAGCGUUGUCCGGAAUCAUUGGGCGUAAAGCGCGUGUAGGCGGCUCGGUAAGUCCGGUGUGAAACCUUGGGGCUCAACCCCAAGCCUGCACUGGAUACUGUCGAGCUUGAGUCCGGGAGGGGAGAGCGGAAUUCCUAGUGUAGCGGUGAAAUGCGCAGAUAUUAGGAAGAACACCGGUGGCGAAGGCGGCUCUCUGGAACGGUACUGGACGGCUGAGACGCGAAA
rnacentral:rRNA from 1 species